rnacentral:rRNA from 1 species
AACGAACGCUGGCGGCAUGCCUAACACAUGCAAGUCGAACGAGACCUCCGGGUCUUGUGGCGCACGGGUGUGUAACGCGGGGGAAGCUGCCCUUAGGUUCGGAAUAACUGCCCGAAAGGGGUGCUAAUACCGGAUAAUGUCUUCGGACCAAAGAUUUAUUGCCUUUGGAUGGGCCCGCGUUGGAUUAGCUAGUUGGUAGGGUAAUAGCUUACCAAGGGGACGAUCCAUAGCUGGUCUGAGAGGAUGAUCAGCCACACUGGGACUGAGACACGGCCCAGACUCCUACGGAAGGCAGCAGUGGAGAAUAUUGGACAAUGGGCGAAAGCCUGAUCCAGCAAUGCCGCGUGAGUGAUGAAGGCCUUAGGGUUGUAAAGCUCUUUUACCCGGGAUGAUAAUGACAGUACCGGGAGAAUACGCUCCGGCUAACUCCGUG